ACGGGAGGCAGCAGUGGGGAAUAUUGCACAAUGGGCGAAAGCCUGAUGCAGCAACGCCGCGUGAAGGAUGAAGGUCUUCGGAUCGUAAACUUCUGUCCUUGGGGAAGAUAAUGACGGUACCCUUGGAGGAAGCCCCGGCUAACUACGUGCCAGCAGCCGCGGUAAUACGUAGGGGGCAAGCGUUAUCCGGAAUUAUUGGGCGUAAAGAGUGCGUAGGUGGUUACCUAAGCGCAAGGUUUAAUCUUGAGGCUUAACCUCAUUCUGCCUUGCGAACUGGGCUACUUGAGUGCAGGAGGGGAAAGCGGAAUUCCUAGUGUAGCGGUGAAAUGCGUAGAUAUUAGGAAGAACACCGGUGGCGAAGGCGGCUUUCUGGACUGUAACUGACACUGAGGCACGAAAGCGUGGGGAGCAAACAGGAUUAGAUACCCUGGUA
rnacentral:rRNA from 1 species